rnacentral:rRNA from 1 species
UUAAGUUAUUAAGGGCGCACGGUGGAUGCCUUGGCACUAGAAGCCGAUGAAGGACGUUACUAACGACGAUAUGCUUUGGGGAGCUGUAAGUAAGCUUUGAUCCAGAGAUUUCCGAAUGGGGAAACCCAGCAUGAGUUAUGUCAUGUUAUCGAUAUGUGAAUACAUAGCAUAUCAGAAGGCACACCCGGAGAACUGAAACAUCUUAGUACCCGGAGGAAGAGAAAGAAAAUUCGAUUCCCUUAGUAGCGGCGAGCGAAACGGGGAGAGCCCAAACCAACAAGCUUGCUUGUUGGGGUUGUAGGACACUCUAUACGGAGUUACAAAGGACGACAUUAGACGAAUCAUCUGGAAAGAUGAAUCAAAGAAGGUAAUAAUCCUGUAGUCGAAAAUGUUGUCUCUCUUGAGUGGAUCCUGAGUACGACGGAGCACGUGAAAUUCCGUCGGAAUCUGGGAGGACCAUCUCCUAAGGCUAAAUACUCUCUAGUGACCGAUAGUGAACCAGUACCGUGAGGGAAAGGUGAAAAGCACCCCGGAAGGGGAGUGAAAUAGAACCUGAAACCGUGUGCUUACAAGUAGUCAGAGCCCGUUAAUGGGUGAUGGCGUGCCUUUUGUAGAAUGAACCGGCGAGUUACGAUUUGAUGCAAGGUUAAGCAGUAAAUGUGGAGCCGUAGCGAAAGCGAGUCUGAAUAGGGCGUUUAGUAUUUGGUCGUAGACCCGAAACCAGGUGAUCUACCCUUGGUCAGGUUGAAGUUCAGGUAACACUGAAUGGAGGACCGAACCGACUUACGUUGAAAAGUGAGCGGAUGAACUGAGGGUAGCGGAGAAAUUUCAAUCGAACCUGGAGAUAGCUGGUUCUCUCCGAAAUAGCUUUAGGGCUAGCCUCAAGUGAUGAUUAUUGGAGGUAGAGCACUGUUUGGACGAGGGGCCCCUCUCGGGUUACCGAAUUCAGACAAACUCCGAAUGCCAAUUAAUUUAACUUGGGAGUCAGAACAUGGGUGAUAAGGUCCGUGUUCGAAAGGGAAACAGCCCAGACCACCAGCUAAGGUCCCAAAAUAUAUGUUAAGUGGAAAAGGAUGUGGCGUUGCCCAGACAACUAGGAUGUUGGCUUAGAAGCAGCCAUCAUUUAAAGAGUGCGUAAUAGCUCACUAGUCGAGUGACACUGCGCCGAAAAUGUACCGGGGCUAAACAUAUUACCGAAGCUGUGGAUUGUCCUUUGGACAAUGGUAGGAGAGCGUUCUAAGGGCGUUGAAGCAUGAUCGUAAGGACAUGUGGAGCGCUUAGAAGUGAGAAUGCCGGUGUGAGUAGCGAAAGACGGGUGAGAAUCCCGUCCACCGAUUGACUAAGGUUUCCAGAGGAAGGCUCGUCCGCUCUGGGUUAGUCGGGUCCUAAGCUGAGGCCGACAGGCGUAGGCGAUGGAUAACAGGUUGAUAUUCCUGUACCACCUAUAAUCGUUUUAAUCGAUGGGGGGACGCAGUAGGAUAGGCGAAGCGUGCGAUUGGAUUGCACGUCUAAGCAGUAAGGCUGAGUAUUAGGCAAAUCCGGUACUCGUUAAGGCUGAGCUGUGAUGGGGAGAAGACAUUGUGUCUUCGAGUCGUUGAUUUCACACUGCCGAGAAAAGCCUCUAGAUAGAAAAUAGGUGCCCGUACCGCAAACCGACACAGGUAGUCAAGAUGAGAAUUCUAAGGUGAGCGAGCGAACUCUCGUUAAGGAACUCGGCAAAAUGACCCCGUAACUUCGGGAGAAGGGGUGCUCUUUAGGGUUAACGCCCAGAAGAGCCGCAGUGAAUAGGCCCAAGCGACUGUUUAUCAAAAACACAGGUCUCUGCUAAACCGUAAGGUGAUGUAUAGGGGCUGACGCCUGCCCGGUGCUGGAAGGUUAAGAGGAGUGGUUAGCUUCUGCGAAGCUACGAAUCGAAGCCCCAGUAAACGGCGGCCGUAACUAUAACGGUCCUAAGGUAGCGAAAUUCCUUGUCGGGUAAGUUCCGACCCGCACGAAAGGCGUAACGAUUUGGGCACUGUCUCAACGAGAGACUCGGUGAAAUCAUAGUACCUGUGAAGAUGCAGGUUACCCGCGACAGGACGGAAAGACCCCGUGGAGCUUUACUGUAGCCUGAUAUUGAAAUUCGGCACAGCUUGUACAGGAUAGGUAGGAGCCUUUGAAACGUGAGCGCUAGCUUACGAGGAGGCGCUGGUGGGAUACUACCCUAGCUGUGUUGGCUUUCUAACCCGCACCACUUAUCGUGGUGGGAGACAGUGUCAGGCGGGCAGUUUGACUGGGGCGGUCGCCUCCUAAAAGGUAACGGAGGCGCUCAAAGGUUCCCUCAGAAUGGUUGGAAAUCAUUCAUAGAGUGUAAAGGCAUAAGGGAGCUUGACUGCGAGACCUACAAGUCGAGCAGGGUCGAAAGACGGACUUAGUGAUCCGGUGGUUCCGCAUGGAAGGGCCAUCGCUCAACGGAUAAAAGCUACCCCGGGGAUAACAGGCUUAUCUCCCCCAAGAGUUCACAUCGACGGGGAGGUUUGGCACCUCGAUGUCGGCUCAUCGCAUCCUGGGGCUGUAGUCGGUCCCAAGGGUUGGGCUGUUCGCCCAUUAAAGCGGUACGCGAGCUGGGUUCAGAACGUCGUGAGACAGUUCGGUCCCUAUCCGUCGUGGGCGUAGGAAAUUUGAGAGGAGCUGUCCUUAGUACGAGAGGACCGGGAUGGACAUACCUCUGGUGUACCAGUUGUCGUGCCAACGGCAUAGCUGGGUAGCUAUGUGUGGACGGGAUAAGUGCUGAAAGCAUCUAAGCAUGAAGCCCCCCUCAAGAUGAGAUUUCCCAACUUCGGUUAUAAGAUCCCUCAAAGAUGAUGAGGUUAAUAGGUUCGAGGUGGAAGCAUGGUGACAUGUGGAGCUGACGAAUACUAAUCGAUCGAAGACUUAAUCAA